rnacentral:rRNA from 1 species
UGUUGCCUACGGGAGGCAGCAGUGGGGAAUAUUGGGCAAUGGGCGCAAGCCUGACCCAGCAACGCCGCGUGAAGGAAGAAGGCUUUCGGGUUGUAAACUUCUUUUCUGAGGGACGAAGAAAGUGACGGUACCUCAGGAAUAAGCCACGGCUAACUACGUGCCAGCAGCCGCGGUAAUACGUAGGUGGCAAGCGUUAUCCGGAUUUAUUGGGUGUAAAGGGCGUGUAGGCGGGAAUGCAAGUCAGAUGGGAAAACUA